UUGUUGGUGGGGUGAUGGCCUACCAAGGCGACGACGGGUAGCCGGCCUGAGAGGGUGUCCGGCCACACUGGGACUGAGAUACGGCCCAGACUCCUACGGGAGGCAGCAGUGGGGAAUAUUGCACAAUGGGCGCAAGCCUGAUGCAGCGACGCCGCGUGGGGGAUGACGGCCUUCGGGUUGUAAACCUCUUUCACCAUCGACGAAGCUGCGGGGUUUCCCGUGGUGACGGUAGGUGGAGAAGAAGCACCGGCCAACUACGUGCCAGCCGCCGCAGUAAAAC
rnacentral:rRNA from 1 species